GGCGGCGUGGCCGAACGGUCAGGCACUGGACCUUUCAAUUCUAGGAAACCUGGUUCGACUCCAGGCGCCGCCU
rnacentral:tRNA from 1 species